CGCAAAGCUGCGUGUGGGCAGACGAUCUGUAGGUUCCACCUCCAAGACGCUCCAGGCUGGCAGAGUGCCAAGUACACGGAAGAGCCUCUAUAAUUACUUGUUGACCAUCAGGUCCUGAAGAUAUACAGCUUUCUCCACCACACAAGGUGUUCACCCCUUAAAGUGUUUUGUUAGUGAAAGAAGGCGAUCACACGGAUGCUUCCAAAGAGUACGAUCAUGAAACCGUGUGACAGGGCCACCCUGGCGGCUCAGUCGGUUAAACUUCCGACUUCGGCUCAGGGCAUGAUCUCACGGUUCAUGAGUUCGGGCCCCUGCAUCAGGCUCUGUGCCGACAGCUCAGAGCCUGGAGCUGCUUCGGAUUCUGUGUCUCCCUCUCUCUCUGUCGUUCCCCCACUCAUGCUCUGUCUCUCUGUCUCUCUCAAAAAUAAAUAAACAUUAAAAAAAAAGAAACUCUGUAUGAUAGAGGGUCCUCCAGGAAAACAGGACCAAGAGGAGAUUAGAUAGAUAGAUAGAUAGAUAAUAGAUAGAUAAUAGAUAGAUGGAUAGGUAGAUGAGAUGGAUAGAUACAUAGAUAGAUAGAUACAUAGAUAAUAGACAAAUACAUAGAUGGGUGACAUGUAUGUACUUACGUACACUGAUACAUACGUACUCUCCGGAGGGAGGGCAGGAGGAGAGAGAUUUUGAGGAGUUGGCUCACACAAUUCCAGGACUUGAUGUCAUAAUAACUCUCAACCAGAAGGUGAAAAGAGCAGAGUGAGGCUAAUGCUGUCUGGCUAAAAAGCAGCAGUCACCCACAUGAGCCAGAGGAGAGGGAUGCUCAGUCACGUUUGUGAUUUGUGGUUUUGUGGUUUUGAUGAGGAUGAUUUGGGAGGGGUCUUCAUUCUGCCCUGCUCCACCAUGUCCCCAGAGUGGCCUUCUGUAGUGCUGGUGCUCUGCGACACCGUUUAACCCCACAGGGGCAGGAGCAUGGCCAAGGGUGCCGGGGUCUGGCAGCACCUGGAGGCGGCUUUCCUCUUCUGAAAGAUUCAUAGGUUCUGAUCCAUCAGUUCUUGGGUAAUUAAGGGCUCACUAGUCCCUCAAUAUAGACACAGCCACAAUACUUACAGAAGUUAUUUGGCUCAUGUGUUCUCAAAGGACAGGGAAGCUCCCACAUGUUUUAUCUGUUGAUUCGUCAUAAAUCGCCACAAAUUUAGUGACUUAAAACAACACGCAUUAAUUAUCUCACACUCUAUGCAGGUCAGACAUCCUGGCACAGCCCAGCUGGGUCCUCCGCUUUGGGUCUCACCACACUAUAGUCAAGCAUCAGGUGGGGUCAUGGUCUCAUCAGAGGCCCAAGUGGGGAAAGAUCACCUUCCAAGCCUUCUCAUUUUGUUUGGCCGGGCUUACAGGACGGAAGUCCCUGCCUUGCUGCUGUUUGUCACCUGGGACCACUCUCAGCUCCUAGAGGCUGCACAGUUCCCUGUCACAUGGCCUUUCUGCAGGCGGUCCCACAAAACGGCAGCUCACUUCUUCAAAGGCAGCAAGGGAGAGUCUCUCUUCCUCAAACUCUUACAUCACCUAUAACCUUGGAUAUGACAGCCCGUCACCUCUGCCAUAUUGUCGUCCAAAACAUUUAGAAAUUUCAAAAGGAAUAAACAGAAAAUGCAGAUGACAUGAAUAAAUCCAAAGAAGAAAAUAAAAUCAUUCCUGGCUAUUACUAUUUCUACCAUGAAGAGAUGAUCACUUACAACACUUGAAUGUCGCAGACUGAGGACUCUUCAGAAGUAGUCUGGGACCAAACAGGUUCUUGUAGGGCACAGAGAGGAGGCUCCAUCUUGACUGGUGAGAGAGAAGCUUCUGGAGCUCCUUCUUCCCCUGCUAGUGGAGGCCAUUGGUCAACUGGGCCAGUAGAGCCCCCGGUGACGUGACAUUUUUGAAUUUUUGAUUAUUACACCGUUUGGGAUGGAGAAAGUACUACUGGAAUUCAGUAGGUGGAGCCUAGGGAUACCGAGAAAAAUCCCACGACACGCCGAAUCGUCCCGGCUCACACAUCCAUGGUGCCGAGGCUGAGAGCCUGGUCUCGAUCCUCACGUGAGAAUGUGAAGCUGAAGAGGCUGUGGGGUGGAGGGCAGUAUUCACAAAGGUGUUCCUUUCUCUCUCAGUCAUACCUCAUGGCUCCGCCCAAUGGAAGUGAAGAGUAAAAGUGACCUAGUCGCAAAGCACCUACUGAACCAUAGCAACCUUGGGGAGACAUUCACAUGCAUUAACAGAUGAGGCAACAAUUGUAAGUGCUGCAGAGCAGGAGAAGAUUUAUUGGGCUUCAAGGAAUUAAAGGAAAAUCAUGUUAUCAAGUGACAGAUCAGGACCAACCAAAGACUAGAGACAGAGCCAGCCUCCUCCGCCGCCUUCUGCCCACGGGAGCAGCGGGGCUGGUCAACCUGGAUUUCUACGGCCACAUUCUAGAAUGUCUUGUAGGGAGACAUGUCUUUGGGACACUUGGGGCCUAGCACUUGGAGAGAAGUUUACCUCAGUUCUCCUCCCUGGAGUCUGCGAUCAUUUGAAAGUAACAGGAGAAAGCGGUCAGGCCAAGGGAAAGAUCUCAACAGGGCCAUCAACGGUAAGGACGCUAACCAUUCAUUCAUUGCGAAAUCGCGGGGACGGCUACAUGAUGAAGACCUCAGAGGAUCUGGGCACUGAAAAUACCUGGCCUCUGCCCCCUGGAUGCCCCCAGCAGCCCUUUGCAGUGGUGACGACCCACGUUGUCUCCAGAUGGGACCAACUGUCCACCAGGGGCAGACUCACCCAAAGUUGAGAACCGUGGAUUUAAGUGGUUUUAUUUUGUAGGUGUGUUCGCUUACUUGCUUUGUUGAUCAUUAAACAAAGCUGCCUGAACCUC